AUUGAACGCUGGCGGCAGGCUUAACACAUGCAAGUCGAGCGGAGAUGAGGUGCUUGCACCUUAUCUUAGCGGCGGACGGGUGAGUAAUGCUUAGGAAUCUGCCUAUUAGUGGGGGACAACAUUCCGAAAGGAAUGCUAAUACCGCAUACGUCCUACGGGAGAAAGCAGGGGAUCUUCGGACCUUGCGCUAAUAGAUGAGCCUAAGUCGGAUUAGCUAGUUGGUGGGGUAAAGGCCUACCAAGGCGACGAUCUGUAGCGGGUCUGAGAGGAUGAUCCGCCACACUGGGACUGUGACACAGACCAGACUCCUACGGGAGGCAGCAGUGGGGAAUAUUGGACAAUGGGGGGAACCCUGAUCCAGCCAUGCCGCGUGUGUGAAGAAGGCCUUAUGGUGUAAAGCACUUUAAGCGAGGAGGAGGCUACUGAGACUAAUACUCUUGGAUAGUGGACGUUACUCGCAGAAUAAGCACCGGCUAACUCUGUGCCAGCCGCCGCCGUAACAC
rnacentral:rRNA from 1 species